GGGCGGCAUCUUCAACCUCUCCGCUAUGUUGGGCACGGCUAUCAAAUCCUUCAGCUCUACCAAAAAAUUAUGCCUCAAAGGCUUAUUCUCCCUUGCACGCCCCUUAGUUUGAGGCUUCCUAGGCUCGUAGGGCUGCUUCUCCACGGGGGCUCUCUUCUCCGUUGCAGCCUCAUGCACCCUCAUAGGCUGCGCACGCGCCGAUGCUUGUGGGUGCGUGGGAACAACACACGCGCGCUUCUCAUUAACUUCCCCCUCUACUGCGAUAUGAGCCACCGCUCAACGCCUUAUUUCGCUGAAGGUCUUGGGGCGGCUCCUGAUGAGUGAUUCACUAAAAGGUCCUGGACAAAUCCCCUUUCUAAACGCGUGAACCAUCAUCAUCUCGUCCUUAGUGUUUAACUUCACCACCUGCGCCCCAAAACGGUUAACAAACUCCUUCAUCGACUCACCCUGGUACUGUCUUACGUCGAAAAGAUCGUAAGAGUUGGGUGGGGGAGCAUGAUUCGCAAUGUAUUGCUCCCUAAACAACUUUGACAACUGAGCAAAUGACGUCACAUGGCCAUCAGGGAGGCUGAUGAACCAAUCCAUCAUCGUUCCUACCAGCGUGCUCAUGAACAAUUUGCACCUUACUGCAUCAGAACCACCAAUCAGAAUCAUCUGCGUAUGGAAAGUUGUGAGAUGGGCCUCUGGAUCCUCCAUCCCUGUGAACGUGGCUUUCGGUCCCACUAACGUAACUGGUAUCACAGCAUCCAUAAUCGCCUACAAAAAAGGCAUGGGGAAUUCCCUGGGAGGUGUAGCACACUCUUGUUCCUCCGCUUCACGAUCUCCUUCCUGAUUUCGCAAAUCACGGCGCAACUCUUCAUUGGUUUGGUGUAGUUCUUCGUUUCUCGCUUGCGACGCAGCCAGAUCAAUCUGGAUGCGUUCUUGAUCAGCUCUUAACGCUGCCAUCGCUUCUUGAAGGCCCUGCAUCAUCUCCAUAACUUGUUGUAGGGUAAGACCUUCGCCUCCGUUUAGCGCAGCAGAUCCUUGCCUCGUAUUUCUCAUCUUGAUCGAUUCUUGAUGGAUCUUGAUUAAUCUUUCUCAGUUCUUGCAGUUGAGACAAUCGUUUUAGAUCAGGCCCCAUGGUGGGCGCAAAUGUUCCCACUAGUUUGCACUUCGACGCUCAAGUCAAAGUUAGGGCUAUGAAACACCAAAAAGCUCUUAACUCCGAGAGCCUGUGUAAUUCUGUGUGUACUUGUGUUAGAAUUGCGUACCUUGUUAUGUUUGUUGCUACCCUUUAUAUACUCUAGAGUUUCCGCUCUUUUUGCUAACUGUAACUAGGUUUACUAUAGGUGUGUCUUAGCGCCACUAUCACCCACUCUUAGGGCCAUCUAGCCUGUAAGACUCCCUUACUAGAGUGCAACCUCCGACGGGAUGACCACUUGGGUGUCAACUCAUGCACCCAAUCUCUGGGGCCAUCCGCCCUGGGAGUGCCCUAGCUGUUCAUGUGCCAUGCAUGCAGAUCACCCCUAGAACGUGACCCUUACGAGUCGUCCACACCCCAUACAUGGACCCCCGUGAUCUAGGCCUCUCCCUUACUGAUAACUGGAGUGUGGCUUGGAAACCACUUUUUUCAGCCCAGUUGUACUGUUUGAGUCACCGAGGUCCGAGGCAUCCUCGCCUUUUGCCCCGACGCCGACCACACCUCGGCUACCUUGACUUACGUGCUUCGCAAGACACUAGCCCGUCCUCCUCGUGGACCCAGCUUUUGGGGUCCCACCAUAACUGUGGUCAACGUCGAGGUUCGAGAACUGGCCGGUACACGAUAAUCUUUAAUGUUGAUUCAAUAUUUGGUUAAUUUUUUUUUUUAAAGUACUCUUUAUUAGUAAUUUAGAUAAAGCAAACCACUAAACUUGACAGGUCCAAUUAAAAGCAUCAAAGACAUGUUUUUACAUAUAUUUAGUAAUUAUUUCAGAUAAUUUAAAUUUAAAACACAAAUUUUAAAAACCUCUAUAAAAUUCAAUAAAAUAAGAAGUUAGCUAAAAUGCUUUUUUUUCCUAUCAUAGAUUUUCAUAUAAUAAAACUAUAUAGUUUAUAACAAUUAUUUUGAUAAAGUUAUAUGUAAAAUGAUUUAUAAUUGAUUGAUCUUUUGUUAAUAAUAUAUGAACUUAAACUCUUAAAACGAAAUACUUUUAAACUUGGGAAAAGAAGCAAGAAAUUCAGCUUCGGAAAUAAGGAAAAAAAUAAAACAAGAGAAAUGCUUUCCUUGCACUCUUUUCAACCCAUGUCACUUUAUUUGAUUAAAAUUUAUUCAAAGAAUUUAUAUCUGUUUGCUAAAUUUUAAUCAAUAAGCAUUCUUCUCAUCACACCUAUAUGUCCGAUUCAACACACCAAGAACAUGGAGAUAGCACUUGCAUACAUAACAUAACUACCUAUAUGGAUCCUUCUAGAAGAAAGAAAAUAAAACAUUUUGGUAUAUGAAGAAAGAAAUAUACUAAAUUCAAUAUGAAAAUGAAUGCAAAUAAAAAAUCAGUAUAUGAGAAAAUUACCAUGAAGAACUGGAGCUUGUUUCCCUUGCUUUGGUAUUCAUUAGCAAAGAGGUUUCAUCCCAUGCCGCAAACCCGUGUGCAAGUAUAUUUGGUGAAGAAACAUAAUCAAUGGAAGCUCAUAGUGGCAUCAAAACCAAAAGGAAAGUAGCAUGUAAGGAGGAUGCAUUAAAUGUUGUGCCUUUAUCAUAUAGAACAUUGCCUUCUCCUUCGAGUCCAGACCUCACUGUUUUAUCGUCGCCACAAACUUUGACACGAAAUUCUCUACCACAACAACGCUCGAGGCAACGCAAGCCACCACACCAGAGAUCAUGAGCCGCUUCUCCUCGUGAUUGAUCUUCACGCUCCUUGUGAAAAAUUGCACAACAAUAUUAAUCGAGACAUAGCAUAAAGCAAAAUGUGUGUUAGGAAUGAAUUUUCACACCAAAUAAAUUUUAGGGUUGAACGCAUAAAACGUUGAUGGUUAGAAAAAAUGAGAAAGAGAAAGGAAAAUGCAGAAGAAUGACACUAUAGGUUAUAAGUGGAAAAAAGAUAGUGCUCGUUGCCACAGAAAUGUGAGACAAUACUCGGGCCACCGGAAAUGCGAGACAAUACUUGUUGUCAAUGAAAAAAAGGGGAAACAACUUUAAUGAAAAACAACCCUAAAAAGAAAAAAAAAUGAAAAGAGUUAUUAUGACAGUUCUAAGUAUAAUUCACAUAAUAAAAACUUUCUAUAUCAUUUAGAAUAAUAAAAAUCAUAGUAAAAUUUUAUUAUGUGACUUUUAGUAAUAACUAAUAUUAUAAAGUUUAAUUUAUUUACAGUAUUGUCACCACUAUAUUUAUUAUUAGGGUUGAUUUAGAUUCAUAAUAAUAAUAAGCUAUCAUUGAUUCUCAAUUUUGUAUUAGUGAAAGAAGAGAGAAAAGCUUAUGUGUAUUGUCACACAUAACAUACAAGAGACAAGCUAGAUAAAUAAAUAUAAAGAGAGGCGUCCAUACUGCUUAUAACAUAAUUAGCUAAGCAGAAGUUUGUUUAAGAGCAGAAGCUUUUAGGUUGAUGGAAGAAUAAACAAAGGUUCUUUAGUUGAGUAGGAACAUUUUUUUUUUAAGUUGUUAAAAACUGAGUAAUUAUUAUUGGUAUUUUUUUAUUGUCUAAUUCACUAUCAUUUUAAUUUUAACUCAAAUUGUAAUGUAACAAUUCAACAUCUAUUUCUCUAAACGCACAGUGAACUGCUAUUAGGUGAAUUUCAUGUCUUAUAAAAAUAGGUUCACUCUGUAUUGAAUAGGACUUGCAUAAAUAUAUUCAUAAAUUAGUCUGAUUGUCAAUAGAUUUAAUUAUCAGAAAAUUUGUGAAAGUUAUUGAAUGAUGAUAUUAAAACUGUACUCCCAAUAUUCUUUUGUUUCUAAAACAAAAAUAUCAAUUUGCAUUAAUCUGUUAUUAAAUGUGACACUCUUAAACCUGGUUUCCGUUAAAUCUCAUAAAUUCAUAAGCAACAGUUUUCCACCCUAUCAGUGAAGUAACAUAACCCUAAAUAAUACCUAACUUCAAUCUUUAAUCUCAAACAAAAACUAGAGGCACUUAAUAAUGAUCUAGGAUAUGCAACUAUGUACAAAAAAGAUUUACAGAAAUCCCAUCAUAAACCUCUUUUAAACAUCAAUAUUUGGCAGUUUUAAUAUUGGGUACUCCCUGCAACAUACAGUAACAAAUGGUAUAUGCAAUGGUCACAACAUAUAUUGAAUGGUCACAACUACUACAAAUUUUCUUUCUCUACAUUGUGUCAAAAGAAAAGAUGACAGCCUUCAAAAUUGACUAUGUGCUCUGUUCUUCUGAAAGUGGAUUACUUAAAUUACAAUUAUUUAUAAUAAUAAUAGUUAACUAUUAUAAUUAUAAUUUAUUUUUAAAAUCAAUUAGUUUCCAAAAAUUUUAACAUCACACACUUGUUAUGCUUAUUAUUAUUUUCUUGUCAAAUCGUUGUUUCCAUUUUAUUGGAAAGCAUUUUGCCUAAAUCAAGAAUCAAGAAUAAAUAUAGGAAUAAAUUGUCCAAACCCCACCUGAUGGCAUUGAGCUCUCUUUUACGGUUUUUUGUGGUUUGCGGAAGCUUUAAUGGGUUGUAGGUGGAUCAAGGCUCUCCUAGGAGGUGUGAUAGCCUUGGAGGUGCAUGAUGAGUAGGGAAAUAGGAGAGGUUCGGCCAGCUCCCUUUGGUUGGUGAAAGGAUUGAAGAUUAAAGCCCUAAAUCUAAAGAGAUUUAGGCAAGGAAGUAUGAAUUACUCAAAUUUGGCAGCAUUUCAAUACUCAAAAUAAUCUUACAAAGUGAGAGUCAAACACCUCAAUUUAUAGUGUUUAAAAGACUGAAAAUUCAAAAAAGAGUGGAGGGAAAUUCAAAUGAUUUCCUCCCAAAAGUGGAGCCUAAAUGAGCACAUGGGGAGGGGUGUGUCUAGUUUGUAUGCUCACCCCCUCCAUGGGCUUUCUAAACCGACCUUGGUAAAUUUAGAGAUUUUUUUAGAAACUCUAAGUUUACCUAGGUUGGUGCUUUAGGUGCCAAAAUUAAUUCUAAGAAAAAUUACAAAUAAAGUUUUUAUGCUAAUUUUGACAAGAAAUUAAAGUCUACUCUACACUAAAGUUUAUGGCAUUUGAACAUGUAAAAAAACCUCUUCUUAGAUCCUCUUGGCCAUAACUCUCGGAUUGGUCCAAAUCUACUCUUUGAUGGACUUACAUGUGGACUUGUGCUUGGGCCUCUUCCAUCACCACCAAACAAAGUUAAAACAUAAUUUCACCUUUAAAAGAAAAUCAACAUCUUCGUACUAAAUAUAUAAAUGUGUGUGGUGCACUACAUUUGCAUCUGCAGUUAUAUUUUUUAUGCACCCUUAAAUUUUUACUUUAUAAUUAAAAGUAAAAUAAAAAUAUAAGGCAUAAAAAUAUUUUAUUUCAACUGCAGGGAAUCCUGGCCACUAAGCAGAAUAAUUAUCAUUUCUUCUAUUAUAGAAAAAUAAAAAACAAAAGAGGACAAUAUAGUAAAGGUGGAAACAGUUGAAUCUUGUGCUUAUGCUAAGAGGUUCUGCACUCGAAUAUUUCAGAUUUUUUGUUCGUUUACUCAUCAUCCUGUUAAUGAUACAUGCUUCUAAACUCCACCGCGUGUGGACUCCAUACCAGUGCUUAUAAAUGACACGUUGCUAGAUUCUUUUACGUGACAUGCCAUCACACCAAAUUUUUCUGAAGGCAAAUCUUCAUUCUGAAAUUCUAAUUACAAACAUUUUAUCCCCUUAUUUUGGUGACUAAAUUUGGUGACCGAAUUGAUAUUUUCUUUUAAUAUUAUAUUGGAAAAAAUUUAAGCUCGCAUGCUACGUAAAGAUUCAGACAAUCAAUUAAUGAAAUCGAUCACCAAUUCAAAUAAGUCAAAAAAAAAUUGUUCUUAUUAUCGCAAUGAAUGUUAAAAAAAAAAUUUCAUUUAAAUAGUAAAAUUAUCCUUUAUAAUGUUGUUCUCAUUAAAUAUUUUAAUAUCAUCUUUUUUUUAAUAAUUUAUAUUCAAUAAUUUAAUUUAUUAAUACAUUUAUUUUAACAUAAAUACAUGUAUAUUAUUAUUUUUUACAUAUUAUAUAAUUUAUACUCUUAUAUAUUAUAUAAUCUAAAAAUUUAUACAUACACCAUAUCUUAUAUCUUAUUUUUUAUAAGAAGCCGAGGAGGAGAUUCUAGAGAGAUAUUAAAACCUAAAUAUAUUUAUAUAAAAAUAUUUAUUUUUAAUAGAGAAUUUAAAUCUUUUAUGAAUAGAUAUGUUGUCUAGACAUAGAAUUUUAAAAUAAAUUUUUUAGAAUAAUUUAAUUAUUUAAAAGUAAAGUUUUUAAAAUAUUAUAUUAUUCUCUCUUUCAUUACUACAAGAAAAUAAUUAAAUAAAAAAUAAUUUAAAAAAUAAAAAAUAAUUAAUUAUUAUAUUAAUUAAAUUACAUAAUAUUUUAGAUAUUAAUAAAAUUAUUAAUAUCUAAAGUAGUUUUUAUCAUUAAUAUAAGUUUUAAAUUGACAUAUUUAAUGACAAUAUUUAUCAAUAAUAUAAAUUACUUUAAAUAUUAAUAAUUUUUUAGUAUUUAAAAUAGUAUCUAAUUUAAUGAUUAAUUAUUUUUUUUCUAAAAUUAAUUUUUAUUUAAUAAUUUUUUUAGUAUUAUAAAUACAAAUAACAAAUAUUAAAAUAUAAGUUUUAUAUGACUAAUACAAUAAAAUCAUUGAAUAGAAACUAAUUUUAGAAAUAAAAAAUAAUUAGUUACUAUAUUGACUAAAUUAGAGACCAUUUUAAAGACUAAAAAAUAAUUGGUUUCUAAAUUAGUUUCUAUUACUGAUAAAUAGUUUCUAAAUUGGUAUCUAAUUAGCUAUCAAGGUUUUUGUUACCAGAUUUAGAAUCUAAAUAAUUGGUAAUUAAAACCUUGAUAGCUAAUUAAAAAUCAAUUUAGAAACUAUUUAUCUAUAAUAGAAACUAAUUUAGAAAUCAAUAAUUUUUUUAGUCUACAAAAUGGUUUCUAAUUUAGUCAUUAUAGCAACUAAUUAUUUUUUAUCUCUAAAAUUAGUUUCUAUUUAAUUUUUUUUAGGGGACCUUAUCAAAGUAAAAUCUAAAAAAUGUAUUAAAAAUAAUAUGACAUGAUAAAUUCAUUUAAAACUAAUCACCCUUUAUUUUGCAUACAAAUUUGUGAUCAAAUCAUUGAAGUUUUAAGGUUUAUAUUAGCACUUAAUGAGUGAGUGGGAUCAUUCACUUUUGGCUUUAAAAUAAUUAUAUUUUAUCACAAAUUCAAUACGAAAUCUGCAAUUAUAAUUUGUCUUCCAUACUUAACUAAUAUUCAUUAAUCAGUAAUUUAUUAACUAAACGGCUAUAAAUUUUACUUAUAUUUUUUAUUAAAUAAUUCAAAAAUUUACUACAAAAAAUAAGGAAAUAAAUCUAUUACGUGAAAGACAUUAAAAUAAUAAAAAUAUGCAUCAUUAAUAUUGAAAACUUGAAAAAAAAAAUAUAAUACGUUAGAAAAACAUAACGUUGCUAGAUAAACUAAUGAAUUUUUUUAUUCUAAUAUAACUAGGUCUUGUAGAAAGGGCCGAAAAAUAUUAUAUAAGUUUGUAAUAGCUAAGCAUUUAUUAAAAUAUUAUACAUAUAUAUAUAUAUAUUAUAUUUAUUUCAAAUAUUAAAUAUAAAAUAUUUAUUUUAUUUAUUAUAAAUAUACUUAUUAUAAGUAUUUGAAAAUAUUAAGUAUUAUAUUUAUUUAUUACUUUUGCGUGUUUUUUUAAGAAAAAGAAAACCUUUUAUAAAAAAAUAAAGAAAAGUAAGUUAAAUUUGGAGUUGUUGGACCUUAAUUUUAAACGGGCUUAUAAAAACUGUUAAAAACUGUUGUUUGAAUUAGAUCCCCAAUCCGAAUUCACGUGUAUAGGUAAUCAAGUGGUAAAUUCUCCUUAACUUUGUACAUUCUCCAUACAUCUCCAUAUUAUUUAUAAAAUAAAAUAAAAUAAUGCUUUAAAACUUUUAAAUAAUCAUAAAUGAAAAAUAGUUUCACCUUUUUAAAUAACUUUAACACCAUGCUCAUCUCAUAUCUUAUUUUUAUUGGUAUACAUAUUUUUUCAAUGACUUACUUCCAUUUUUCUUCCAUUAGAUCUUUGAUAGUAAUUCCAUUUUUCUUCCAUUACAUCUUUGAUAGAGUAGUUCCAUAAUUUGAAUAUAAUUUGAGUGUGUAUAAGAGUCGACAAAAAGAUUUGUUGUAUUCAAUUGUUAAGAUAAUUUUUUUUGAAUUUUAUACUCCAAUUUUGUAUCUUACUAGUGUUUUAUUUGUCUGAAAUCUGUGAUUUCUAAAAACAUGAAAAAUAAUAAGUGAACGAAAAUAAAAUAAAACACUCAAAUUACAAAUAUUCAUCACUAAUUUUGCAAAAUACAAAUACCAUCACCACUUGAAAAUAAAAAAUAAAUUACACUCUCCAAAUUAAAAAAAAAUGAAAUUGUAGAAAGAAAUUACGGAGGUGCAGUGAGAAAUGGCCUAAUCAAACUGAGUAAAUUAUUUGGUAAAAGGGUCAUUUGCCUUACGAUAAGAUAGGACUUAAUUGAUCCUCACCGACACCCAACACAGCACUCAAUUCCUACACAAUAACAUGCUAAUAUAUACAAUUUAAACAUUUAUUACUUUUAAUUUCUUAAGAUUUCAAUGCAAAAUUAGUACUGGAUUAAAAAAAUUAACUUAUUCUUUUAUCUUAAUACUUUACAUGUUUAGGUAUACUUUGAGGAACUUAUUUUUAUAUACUUAAAAAAAAUCAUAAAUUAGAAUUAGUUUAUUGACAAUAUAAAAAUUAAAAAGUUAUUUUGAACUUGAGAGUAAAAAAGUAAUUUCAAUUAAUAAAAAGAAAUAUGAUGUUGUUGUAAUUAUUUGAGAAUGAAGUGAUUUAAAAAGAAGGGGUAAAAAAAGAAAGUAUGUGGAGGAAAAGUAAAAGUGAGUAAUAUGGAAUAGGGGAGAGAGGACAGAGAAAAGAGAAGAAGAAUUGUGUUGGUGAGCUGCAUAAAUUGAGGCACAGAAGACUCUGUGUUUACAUUCAUCAUAAAGUGUCUCAUAAUCAUAGCUAAGUCACUCCAAUGGAGAACGCCGUGGGAUCCGGAUCUGCCACCAACGGGGAGGUGGCUCCGCCGCGGAAGGUUGCAUUGAUAACCGGAAUCACGGGACAGGACGGUUCCUACCUCACGGAAUUCCUGCUCAACAAGGGAUACGAGGUGCACGGCCUGAUCCGUCGCUCCUCCAACUUCAACACGCAGCGCAUCGACCACAUAUACGUCGAUCCCCACAACGCCCACAAGGCGCGCAUGAAGCUCCACUACGCCGAUCUCACCGACGCCUCCUCGCUCCGCCGCUGGCUCGACACUAUUCUUCCCGACGAGGUCUACAACCUCGCCGCCCAGUCUCACGUCGCCGUCUCCUUCGAGAUCCCCGACUACACCGCCGACGUCGUCGCCACCGGCGCCCUGCGCCUCCUCGAGGCCGUCCGCUCCCACAUCGCUGACUCCGGCCGCUCCCACAUCCGCUACUACCAGGCCGGCUCCUCCGAGAUGUUCGGGUCCACCCCGCCGCCGC
rnacentral:lncRNA from 1 species